AUGCUAAAUACAUAUGUUGUAUACACAACUUGUAGGUUGAAAUAUAUUAUGAAAAUAUAUGUCAUUGAAAAUAUCUUCCCAUUCCCCCAACAUGGGCCCUGCGUGCACUUGCUUCUACUAAAUACAUAUGGUGUAUACAUGGGGGCUGCUCAAAUCUCCAUGACAUUAAUGCUCCAGCCGUCCAGAUCCUUGGAACAAGUGUCCACUAUCACAAUGCCAAACUACAUGAAGCAUCCAUGUCAUGGUUGUUGCACCAUAUAUAGUGAACUUAUUUACUCAAUUGAAGAGAAAGCAUGCUCACUGUUCUCAAAUAAAGAAACCAGCUUGUGUACAUUAGCCAAGAUAGGAGCAUAA
rnacentral:rRNA from 1 species